rnacentral:rRNA from 1 species
UACGUAGGUGGCAAGCGUUGUCCGGAAUCACUGGGCGUAAAGGGCGCGUAGGCGGUAAAUUAAGUCGGGUGUGAAAUCUUUGGGCUCAACCCAAAGUUUGCAAACGAUACUGAUAUACUUGAGUGCAGGAGAGGGCAGUGGAAUUCCUAGUGUAGCGGUGAAAUGCGUAGAUAUUAGGAGGAACACCAGUGGCGAAGGCGGCUGUCUGGACUGUAACUGACGCUGAGGCGCGAAAGCGUGGGGAGCAAACAGGAUUAGAUACC